UGGGGAACUUGAGUGCAGAAGAGGAGAGUGGAAUUCCACGUGUAGCGGUGAAAUGCGUAGAGAUGUGGAGGAACACCAGUGGCGAAGGCGACUCUCUGGUCUGUAACUGACGCUGAGGAGCGAAAGCGUGGGGAGCGAACAGGAUUAGAUACCCUGGUAGUUCACGCCGUAAACGAUGAGUGUUAAGUGUUAGGGGGUUUCCGCCCCUUAGUGCUGCAGCUAACGCAUUAAGCACUCCGCCUGGGGAGUACGGUCGCAAGACUGAAACUCAAAGGAAUUGACGGGGGCCCGCACAAGCGGUGGAGCAUGUGGUUUAAUUUGAAGCAACGCGAAGAACCUUACCAGGUCUUGACAUCCUCUGACAAUCCUAGAGAUAGGACGUCCCCUUCGGGGGCAGAGUGACAGGUGGUGCAUGGUUGUCGUCAGCUCGUGUCGUGAGAUGUUGGGUUAAGUCCCGCAACGAGCGCAACCCUUGAUUUUAGUUGCCAGCAUUCAGUUGGGCACUCUAAGGUGACUGCCGGUGACAAACCGGAGGAAGGUGGGGAUGACGUCAAAUCAUCAUGCCCCUUAUGACCUGGGCUACACACGUGCUACAAUGGACAGAACAAAGGGCAGCGAAACCGCGAGGUUAAGCCAAUCCCACAAAUCUGUUCUCAGUUCGGAUCGCAGUCUGCAACUCGACUGCGUGAAGCUGGAAUCGCUAGUAAUCGC
rnacentral:rRNA from 1 species